rnacentral:rRNA from 1 species
CUUGUACCGACUGGAUGAGCAGCGAACGGGUGAGUAACGCGUGGGGAAUCUGCCUUUGAGCGGGGGACAACAUUUGGAAACGAAUGCUAAUACCGCAUAAAAACUUUAAACACAAGUUUUAAGUUUGAAAGAUGCAAUUGCAUCACUCAAAGAUGAUCCCGCGUUGUAUUAGCUAGUUGGUGAGGUAAAGGCUCACCAAGGCGAUGAUACAUAGCCGACCUGAGAGGGUGAUCGGCCACAUUGGGACUGAGACACGGCCCAAACUCCUACGGGAGGCAGCAGUAGGGAAUCUUCGGCAAUGGACGAAAGUCUGACCGAGCAACGCCGCGUGAGUGAAGAAGGUUUUCGGAUCGUAAAACUCUGUUGGUAGAGAAGAACGUUGGUGAGAGUGGAAAGCUCAUCAAGUGACGGUAACUACCCAGAAAGGGACGGCUAACUACGUGCCAGCAGCCGCGGUAAUACGUAGGUCCCGAGCGUUGUCCGGAUUUAUUGGGCGUAAAGCGAGCGCAGGUGGUUUAUUAAGUCUGGUGUAAAAGGCAGUGGCUCAACCAUUGUAUGCAUUGGAAACUGGUAGACUUGAGUGCAGGAGAGGAGAGUGGAAUUCCAUGUGUAGCGGUGUG